rnacentral:rRNA from 1 species
AGUGAACGCUGGCGGUAGGCCUAACACAUGCAAGUCGAACGGCAGCACAGUAAGAGCUUGCUCUUACGGGUGGCGAGUGGCGGACGGGUGAGGCAUACAUCGGAAUCUACUUUUUCGUGGGGGAUAACGUAGGGCCACUUACGCUAAUACCGCAUACGACCUACGGGUGAAAGCAGGGGAUCUUCGCACCUUUCGCGAUUGUAUGAGCCGAUGUCGGAUUAGCUAGUUGGCAGGGUAAAGGCCCACCAAGGCGACGAUCCGUAGCUGGUCUGAGAGGAUGAUCAGCCACACUGGAACUGAGACACGGUCCAGACUCCUACGGGAGGCAGCAGUGGGGAAUAUUGGACAAUGGGCGCAAGCCUGAUCCAGCCAUACCGCGUGGGUGAAGAAGGCCUUCGGGUUGUAAAGCCCUUUUGUUGGGAAAGAAAAGCAGCAGGUUAAUACCCCGCUGUUCUGACGGUACCCAAAGAAUAAGCACCGGCUAACUUCGUG